UGAUCAAGGGUGUUGUCUUGUGCUACAAACCUCGACAGCCAGAACAGGAAAUCAUCGCGUUCGUUGUGACAAACACGAAUCCUUUGUCGAUCCAUCAAUGUUUGAAGAAAAUACUGGUCUCCUACGCCAUGCCGAGGGUUGUCGUCGUUGGUGAGACUCCUCUACUAGUCAACGGCAAGAUCGAUCGACAACUCUUACUCAGAGACUACGCCAAGAAUUUCAAAAGUAAUCUGAAAUUACUGAGAACUGAGUCAAUCUGACUGAGAACGGGCAAUCGGAUCUUCUAUUGACUCAGCGAUUGUCCUUUUUUU